rnacentral:rRNA from 1 species
UACGAAGGGGGCGAGCGUUGUUCGGAUUUACUGGGCGUAAAGGGCGCGUAGGCGGCGGGUCAAGUCGAGUGUGAAAGCCCCCGGCUCAACUGGGGAGGGUCACUCGAUACUGAUCGACUCGAAGGCAGGAGAGGGAAGUGGAAUUCCCGGUGUAGUGGUGAAAUGCGUAGAUAUCGGGAGGAACACCAGUGGCGAAGGCGACUAUCUGGGCUGAAACUGACGCUGAGGCGCGAAGGCUAGGGGAGCAAACAGG